ensembl:lncRNA
AGGCAAUUAGGUGGUUAAGAAACUUUCCAAGAUCGCAUAGUUAGUAGGAGACAGAACAGGAAUUUGAACUUAAGCAAAUGAUUCCAACUCUCAGCCCUUGAACCUUCUACUACUUCUCUCUCUCUCUUUUUUCCAAAACAGCUCUUUUACCAGGGAAAACCUGAAGACAACUACCAUCAUCUAUCUUGGACCAUUUGCUUUCAAUGAUCUGCUUGCUCUAAUAUCCCCAUGGAAACUGGAGAGUCGGGAUCAUUACAGAUGGGAGAACUGAGGCCUAGGGAGACCAAGUGACUUGUCAGGCAUUAGACAUGGAGCAAGUGACUGAGGCCUUAAGAGACCCUUAGGCCCACUGACUCCCAUGACUGAACAUGACAAUAAAAAGGACAAACCCUGCAGAAAAGAGUUACUGAGGCUCUUCAGGGCUCAGACUCUUCACACCCAAGAAAAUCUGUUGCUGCAUAGAUUGGCCUCCAGUACAACCCAGCCUGAUACACACCACAAGGUAGGAGGUAGAUACUGUACGCAUGCGCGCAUGUUAAGUUGUAUUCAACUCUUUGUUACCCCAUGGACUGUAGCCCGCCAGGAUCCUCUGUCCAUGAGAUUUCCCAGGCAGGAAUACUGGAGUGGGUUGCAAUUUCCUCUUCCAGGGGAUCUUCCAGACCCAGGGAUUGAAGCCGCAUCUCCUGCAUCUCCUGCAUUGCAGGCGGAUUUCUUACUGUUUGAGCCAUCAUGGAAGCCCGAUAUACACCAUGGGGAAUCCUUAAUAGCAGAAUACUCUGUGUAAUCAUGCAGGCCCUAGGACCAGACAGAUAGAUCCACUUUGCUACUCACCAGCUGACUGAACUUGUACAAGUCCCUUAGUGGCUCUGUGCCUCAGUUUCCUCCUCUGGGAUAUGGGAAUACUAAGAGUGCCUAUCUGAUGGAGCUGUGGAAGAGAUUCAGUGAGAUAAUGCAUGCCAGGACAGUGGCACAGCACCUGGCACUCGGCUUAGUAAAUAAUGGCUAUAGGCAAAGAGGAAGACUUGCUGUCUCAGAAACUUUGCCUUGAAGAAGCAUUUCUCUGGCUCCAAUUUCCCCUGUUUUGAAGUGAAGGGCUGAAGGCUGAGACCGAGGAAAGAAGUGGAGCAAAGGGGUGUGUACAUUUGUAUUUUUUGGUCCCUCUGUGCAGGUGGUGGAAUCAUAGGUCCCCAACCAGGGACUGAACCCAGUCUGGCAGUGAGAGUGCUGAGUCCUAACUACUGGACCGCCUGGGAAACCCCCAAAGGCGUGUAUCUUGAUGCUGACCCCUUUCCUUUCGGCACUUAGAGAACAGGACAAUAUUGAGAGAGGGCCUACGGUUGAAGGAAAUGAAAUCAGUAAUGUGAUGAAGUGAGGGGUGAUGGGUGGGGAGAAGCUGUUUAAAGAAGGGUGGGGUGGUGGGAGAUGAGGGCCUAAAAACUCAGAGGUUGAAAUCCCAUGAAACAAGAGAACCCACAGCAACACCAUGAGCUGAAUGAAGGAAAGAGAAAGAAAAGUUUACAAAGUCAAAGAAGGGAUAGAAGAAGGAAGCUUCAAAAGGGAUUCACAGGAGAGCUUGGGCAGAAAGGUCUGAAUUCUGGGAACCGCUUUGGUCUUUCUCAGAAAUGCCUUGACCAAAGAUUUUGUGCCAAAGGGCCUGAAAUAUGCUCAUUAUUGAAUAAAUGGUCAGUUUGUUCACUCA